rnacentral:lncRNA from 1 species
AUAGAUAAUUUGCAUGUACUUAAUCAAUCUUCUGAAUCAAGUAAAAGUUUAAAAUGUUUUUUGGAAUCACUUGGGUCCACAACUGCUUCCGCAAAAGGCUUUUCAAUUAAGGUUGCAUUUCUCACUCUAGAGAACUAGCCGUGUUUCCACAGACACUAUCUCACAGUAUCCAAAGUCUCUGUUUUCACCUCUAUUCAGACUCUUUUCAGAAUCAAGUCCUUACUUGGAACGAAAUUUUAAAAGAUAACUCACACACAAGGUGCUACGAUUUGUUAGAAAACUGUCUUUUUCCCCUAAACCAUUCAGCAAAGACGGGUACUUUGGCAUGACUAACAUCCAUUUAAAAUCAAUAUUUUGAAAAUCUUUUAAAAUCUC